GGCCGUAGCUCAGUGGUAGAGCACCCGCUUCGCGUGUGUGAGGCACUGGGUUUGAUCCUCAGCACCA
rnacentral:tRNA from 1 species